rnacentral:rRNA from 1 species
AACGAACGCUGGCGGCAUGCCUAACACAUGCAAGUCGAACGAACCCUUCGGGGUUAGUGGCGCACGGGUGCGUAACGCGUGGGAAUCUGCCCUUGGCUUCGGAAUAACAGUUAGAAAUGACUGCUAAUACCGGAUGAUGUCUUCGGACCAAAGAUUUAUCGGCCAGGGAUGAGCCCGCGUAGGAUUAGGUAGUUGGUGGGGGAAAGGCCUACCAAGCCGACGAUCCUUAGCUGGUCUGAGAGGAUGAUCAGCCACACUGGGACUGAGACACGGCCCAGACUCCUACGGGAGGCAGCAGUGGGGAAUAUUGGACAAUGGGCGCAAGCCUGAUCCAGCAAUGCCGCGUGAGUGAUGAAGGCCUUAGGGUCGUAAAGCUCUUCUACCCGGGAUGAUAAUGACAGUACCGGGAGAAUAAGCUCCGGCUAACUCCGUGCCAGCCGCCGCAGUAA